CGGCCCCUAUUCUAGGGGUGUAGGGGUAGGUCAGUUUGGUAAUUUAGUUGAUUUCAUUUCUUGCUGAGGGGGCGUGCUUGUAGUAUUGGCCCCACUUUUCCUGUCCUUUCGUACUGGGGAGAGUCCUGUCACAGAUAGAAACCGACCUGGAUUGCUCCGGUCUGAACUCAGAUCACGUAGGACUAUUAAUCGUUGAACAAACGAACCCUUAAUAGCGGCUGCACCAUUAGGGUGUCCUGAUCCAACAUCGAGGUCGUAAACCUCCUUGUCGAUAUGAGCUCUUGAAGGAGAUUGCGCUGUUAUCCCUGGGGUAGCUUGGUUCAUUGGUCAAUUGUAUUGGGUCGGGUUACUGUUAGUACGUUGAGGGGUUGCUCUUGGUUAAGAGGGGUGGUCUUAUUUUUGGAGGAUUUGUUUUUCUCCAAGGUCGCCCCAACCAAAAAAUGUAGGCCAAUGCGGGAAUAGGGUAGACCUGAUAGGUAGGAGAGGUUGUUGGGGGGUGGUCCUAGAUUUUUAAGUUCCACAGGGUCUUCUCGUCUUGUGGUUUUAUCCAUGCUUUUGCACAGGGAGAUCAAUUUCACUGAUUGUCUGCAGGAGACAGUUAGGACCUCGUUUAGCCAUUCAUACAAGUCUCGAUUUAUGAGACAAUUGAUUGCGCUACCUUCGCACGGUUAGGAUACCGCGGCCGUUGAACAUGAUGUCACUGGGCAGGCGUCACCUUCAAUACUCGGUCCGCUGAAGGCUAUGUUUUUGGUAAACAGUCGGGCCCUGGAUUUGCCUAGUUCCUUCUACAGAUUUGAAUCUUUCCAGUGGGGCGCUCCUGAGUUGGCGUUAACAGCUGUUGUUAAUAUUGAAUCUUGUGGCGGUUUACAUAUUGGGUGCUUGUUAAUUAUUGUGAGUAUGUAAGUUUGCGCUCGAGAGGGAUGACCCGUAGUUACUCAUUUUAGCAUUGAUUCUCCUAUUGUUAUAGGUUGGCCUGUUAGUGUGAAGGGAAUCGUGUUGUUCUUGAAUUUUUGGGUGUUGAGCUUUGACGCAUUCUUUGUUGGUGGCUGCUUUAAGGCCUACAGGGUUUGUGCAGUGCUGGAUUAUCCUCUGGGGGAGAUUGUAUUCUUUUUUAAAGGAGCUGUACCUCCUUUAAAUUACUCUAGGCUAAUUCGUGGGGGCUUGGCGGAUGUGUGUCCUUGGAGAAUAGUCGAGAGGGAACUUAGAUUCAUCUCACAGGCAACCAGCUAUCACCCAGCUCGGUUGGCUUUUCACCUCUACUAGCAAGUCGUCCCACUCUUUUGCGACAGAGACGGGUUCGCUCGGAUAGCUGCUUGCGAGUAGCUCGCUUAGGUUUCGGGGUGGCAAGCUUAAGUUCGUUUUGCUUGGUUGUUCUUGCUAAAUCAUGAUGCAAAAGGUACAAGGGUCGAUCUUUGCUGUUUGUGGCUUAGGUUUCAUUGUUAUUUCAUCUUUCCCUUACGGUACAGAUCUCUAUGGCGUCAAUGUUGGGGCCUUUUCUAUCGCCUAUACUAGGGCCUAGGUGAAUGUUUUGGUUGGUGGCGGGAAUAGGAUCAAUUCUUACUAAUUUCAUUGGAAUGUGGUUGGGCUAGAGUUUGGC
rnacentral:rRNA from 1 species